GAUGAACGCUCGCGAUAGGCUUAACACAUGCAAGUCGAGGGGCAGCAUGGUCUUAGCUUGCUAAGACUGAUGGCGACCGGCGCACGGGUGCGUAACGCGUAUGCAACUUGCCUCACAGAGGGGGAUAACCCGUCGAAAGACGGACUAAUACCGCGUACACUCCAUCUUGGGCAUCCAAGGUAGAGGAAAUGAAAUUCGCUGUGAGAUAGGCAUGCGUCCCAUUAGCUAGUUGGUGAGGUAACGGCUCACCAAGGCGACGAUGGGUAGGGGAACUGAGAGGUUGAACCCCCACACUGGUACUGAGACACGGACCAGACUCCUACGGGAGGCAGCAGUGAGGAAUAUUGGUCAAUGGGCGAGAGCCUGAACCAGCCAAGUCGCGUGAAGGAUGACUGUCUUAUGGAUUGUAAACUUCUUUUAGACGGGAAUAACAAGAGUCACGUGUGACUCCCUGCAUGUACCGUAUGAAUAAGCAUCGGCUAACUCCGUG
rnacentral:rRNA from 1 species